CAUUUCUGAGAAAUUUGAGAUUUGGGGAAAUUUUUUAAGAAUCCGAGAUUUUCGGGAGCCGAGAAAAUGAGAAGCAGGAGAUAUUUUGAGGGCUUCAAGCCCCAUAUGUUAUUGACAUUGGAUCAGGUGGCUCUUGCUGGUUUCUUGGCGGUGCUCCACUCUGUUCUCUCUCAUGCAUCAGUGCAUAUGUCUUUGUGGUUUAUGAGCACAUCCUUGCCACUCUCACUCUCUCUCUCCUCGCCUUCUUCCUUGAAAGGCAAGUCCCUCUCUCUCUUCCCCCUGCAAAAAGUUGGGACCAUCUCUUUUUUUAUCUCUCCUAUUUUAUGUAUGAAAAUUUGGCACUCCCUGUUUCUAUCAAAGUUUAGCUCUCUCCCUGUAAUUUAUUUAUUUAUGAAGUUGGUCAAAGUGAUUUUUUAGUGUGAGAAUGGUCUACUGACCAUAUUAAUUGUUCUUUGGAUGAUUUUUUUAAUGGUAGAAAUAAGAUGCAGAGGCCGUCGUUCAAGAUAAUAUGUUGGGGUUUCUUCCUGGGCUUCAUCCAGAUCCCAAUAUGCCAAUUGCUAUUAACUGCAAGCCUCCAUUUCAUAUCUGCAACUUUCCAAAGCAUCACUCUAAACACCAUUCCCUUUUUUACCUUCAUUGGGGCCACACUUUUUGGUCAAGAAAACCUUAACUUCUUCACUAUUUAUGGGCAAGCCAAGACACGGGGCGUACUGCUUUCUUUUGGGGGAGCAACGGCCAUGGUUCUGUGGACCGCCGGACCAUCUUCCUAUAAUCAAAAUUCCACCUCUCUACCCUCAAAUGCUGGUCUUGGGAGCAUCAGAAAUGAGGUUAUUGGGGGUGUUAUGGUCAUCUGUGGUGCUAUUGCUGGAGCCUCAUGGAAUCUACUAAUGGGAUCCAUGAAGAAGAAGUACCCAGCAGUUCUGUCACUAACGGCGAUGAUGGCAUGCUUUGGGACCAUCCAAACAGCAAGCAUAACGGCAUUGUUCGAGAGGAAGCCGUCUGCUUGGAAAAUCGGACAGCAUUGGGGGCUCGAGCUUUUAGCCAUUGCCUACGGGGGUCAUUUAACUUACCAGUUAGAACGAGAUUAUUAUUUUUCGUAUCACAAAUACUCUAAUAAAAUACUUGGGGUGUGGCAUUCCUUCACACAGGAGUCUGAGAAAAGCUUUUCGGACUUGGGGUGCAAUCAAUAGUAUAUGUCCCUAAAUAUUCAAUUUUUUGUCCGUCUGGUAUACUGUUAGAGAUGAUUGUGAACAAUUUUAUACCAAGGGCAAGUAGACUUAUACUUCUCGAUUCAGAAGUAGUCUUUUGGGUAUGAAAGGCUCAGCAGUCAUUUCAGCUUUCUUGGGAAUAAUCAUCACAGGCUUAUCCUUCUAUGUAGAAACAUGGUGUCUGUACAAGAAGGGUCCGGUUUUCAAAUCCGCAUUCUCUCCCCUCCUCAUUGUCUUCUCUUUCAUCCUUGACACCAUUGCGCAAGGAAGCCUUGUUAAUCUCAGGAGCUUACUUGCAGCAGUGAUGGUGGUGGGAGGUUUAUAUAUGCUCUUGUGGGCCAAAGCUCAUGACAAUGAGGAGGGCACCGCAAAAGAAGAUGAGAGCCUAAAUUCUCUUUUGUCACCUGAGUAGAGCUAUUUCUAAAUAGAUGUUUCUUGUCAACUUCAAAUUAAUAGUUUUGCUUUUGGAUUGCACGACAUGUAAAGCUAUUUUGAAGUAAUGAUAUGUUUCUUCUCAAAUUCAAA